rnacentral:rRNA from 1 species
CGGACGGGUGAGUAACGCGUAGGUAUCUGUCCAUGGAUGGGGGAUAACCGUGGGAAACUACGGCUAAUACCGCAUGACACCUGAGGGUCAAAGGUCGCAAGACCGUCUGUGGAGGAGCCUGCGUCCGAUUAGCUUGUUGGUGGGGUAACGGCCUACCAAGGCGACGAUCGGUAGCUGGUCUGAGAGGAUGAUCAGCCACACUGGGACUGAGACACGGCCCAG